GUCUCCAGCCAUACCACCUAGAGCUCACUCAGUCUCAUUUGAUCUUGGAAGUUAAGCAGGGUCGGGCAUGGUUAGUUCUUGAUUGGGAAACUGCCAGGGACUAUCUGGUGCUGUAGGCU
ensembl:rRNA n-R5s69 nuclear encoded rRNA 5S 69